CAUUCUACAAGGAAAGAGACACUUAAUCCAUUAUAUAAUCAUUAACCAGUUUAUCCCAGAUACCAGACUUCGAAGAGUGAUAACUCAGUUCUAGAAUGUUGUCAUUGAUGAGAAUGAAUGUAAAAUAAUCUAUUGACAUUCAGAAUGGACUUUGUUUAGACAUCCAGUCUGUAUUCUAGUUUCAUGACCAGAGACAAAUCUUCAGAGGCACAGUAUUUAUUUACUCACAGUGGUAAAUGCAUUCACAGUGGUACAUGCAUUCACACUGUCUUGAUUUAUAGGAUCCUUUAUAGGAUCCUUCCCACUAAAUGAUUGAUAUGUCAAGUGAUAAAAUCCCUGCACUUGUCCUCAUGUGAAAAUUACAGUUUAUUCAAUAUUCUACAGUCGGAAGUCAGAGAUUUCCAAGUUCCCAGUUGUCGUGAACGCGGCAGUAGCCUAGUCGCAAGUGGGAAGAUUUUUAUAACCAUAAUGCAACACACUUUGAAAACUUGACAAAAGUGAUCCGCUCGAACGCGCCCAAUGAUUUAUGCUACAUAAAUUUAUGAACAAUUGCUGAUAUUUUCUUACCUCUGGCACGGUCAACAGGUUUGUCAACAUUGUGAGAAAGCAUUUCUGUCACCGUGUGAGCAGCGUUGACCCUCUCAUACUGAAACUUGUGCUCUAUGCUGUUUGAUAAAGCCUGCCUAUGGUCGUAUAAAAUAAUGACAAUGAAGAAAAUAAGUGUUGGAGCGCCACCUGGAGAAAUACUCCUUCAUCGUCCUGCUUUUGGGUUUUCACUAGUUACCACAGCCACGAAGUCAAAAGUGUUUAUCGUAAAAAUCAAUUAAUACAAAAAAUAGUUUUCUGGUCUUAAUGUAAGGGUAGGCAUAAGGUUAGCAGUGUGGUUAGGGUUAAGGCCAGGGUUAUGUUUAAAGUCUGAUUUUAAGAUACAUUGUAGAAGUUGGCGGGGGUUAGCCAAUUAUGCCUUUGUGGUUGUGGUAACUAGUGACGACCACCAACAUGUGUGGAAAUAACAACAACACGGCGAGCUGGGGGCUCACCAACGAUGGUUGUAAUCUUUUCAGACAAACACCAGUGUUAUCAACGCUAAACUGCAAAAGAGUCAAAAUACAAAACAUACGAUCUAAAGAGGAUAACUCAGGACUCAGAGAUUUUGUAGCCAGCUUCAUCAGGCGUCUGGACAAGGAACGGUGCUGUUCUACCAGCUAGGCCUGCUGUAUGGCGGCGUGGUAGAACAUGACUAACACCCAGCGCUCUCUGGGUAAUUAACCUGGUUUUCCUGCUCAUGCUGGCUCCCUUCAUGAAGAACCCUUUGAAGGCUGUGCUGAAGGGGGUCACCAACGAUCCCAUGGACUUCUCGUUCCCCAGGCUUUGGGCUGACCCUGGUGGCAGAGACCUGUUCCUCAGUGCAGAGCAGCUGUCCACCCCCCUGGGGCAGGGAGACCCCGUGCUGCCAGAGGACCUGAGAUGGAACUGUGCCAAACUGCUGCUGGAGGAGAUCUACAAGGUGGGUGACACACAUCAUCAAUCCGACUCCACGUCACAUGACGGGGUAAACUUCCUGUCAAUAACCAGGUUUCCAUCCAGCCAUUUAAUGGGUAAGAAUUACUAGACGCAUAACCAAAAUCACUACAGGGCUUAUGGAAACAGGAAAUGUCAGUACAAUUUCAUAAAUGUCAAUAGACAAUUUGUUCGUUCGACAUGGUGGGAGCUUUUUGUCUGUCAAAUUAAUUAUGCGGAAGAUGACGGUGGAAGCACGUUUAUGCGCAAAUAUUGAUAUUGUAGUUAACUUGGAGUGAUGUGACGAUAUGGGCCAACCACCACGACGUGGUGAAAUAAGUUAUGAUGAACUUCACAUGGGGGUUAAGUGCACUAUCAUCAUUCAGAUUUCCAAUAGGAUAAAUAUCGAGGGUAGGCUAUUAUUUGAAUGCUGUUGGCAUUUAUAAUUGGUGAUUGGCUGCCAAUUAUCAACUAAAAUGAUCUUGUCCAUAUCUCAUAUAACCCCCUUUCUUGUCUAGAGAGCAUGCACCAAAACCACAUUGUGUAAGCUAUUUAUCGCCAAGGUUUUUUGUGACAAAACAUUGGAGUUGAAAUUGCGAUGGAAGCCUAUUUAACUUAUCGUUGCUUUUGGAUGAAAACCUGGUCUCCAAAACAUUUAACUCUUCAAGAAAUGGAAAAGGCUGCCAUAAUCUACCAUUAAUAACGAACAUACCAUUUCGAAACUUAAGAAGCCAUUUUGAAUAACUGUUCUUGGUCCUAGAGUCAUGAAAUGUUCAGAGUACAUUGAGGGGGUUACUGCUUUCAAAACACAUAAAAAAUAUAAAUUGUUAAACAUUAAAUUAUGAGGUUUUCAUCAGUGACGUUUGUGUUUUUAUUCGAUACAUGGGAACUUAACAACAAAAUAUUUUUUGUGUGCACUACGUCAUUACUCACAGCCUUUUAUCCACAACAAGUCAGUUUGAUGGAAACACCUCUGGUGGGAAAAUGUGCAUAUUGUUUUUAUGUAGAUUUUAGAAUAUUUGCUUGAAAAUCUAGUUUUAAGAAUAGCAACAAAACUGGCUUCCUUUGUAGCUCUUUUAAGUCAUGUUUAAGCUCUUAUUGUUGGUGAAAGGACUAUUUAUUUAGCCAUGACGUCCCAUAGAGGUCAGAAGAGCUCUUUUCCAAGGCCCGUAUCCACAAAGCAUCUCAGAGUAGGAGCGCUGAUCUAGGAUCUGUCCAUCUAAUCUUAUUCAUUAUGAUCUAAAAGGCUAAACAGAUACUAGAUCAGCACUCUUACUCAAAGAUGCUUUGUGGAUAUAGGCCCUGGACUAGGUAUAACUCUCAUUACAGCUGUUGUGUACAGUUAGUACAGUACACUGCAUGGCAGGCACAGAGUGGCUUUACUUGGACUCCUUAAUUCACACGUUUUAAAUCACCAUCUGUUUAUGUAUAAAACAAAACGUUUGCCAUUCUUAGUGUGUGCUAUGUACCAUCAGUGGUGCACAGAGGGAAACAGACAGACAGCCGUCCCUCAGAUAAAGAUUAGACUUGGCUCAUCAUUACAGGGGAAUGUAGGUAAACAGGCUGGAUGCAGUGUUUUACAUGUUGUGAUUGAGUCAAGACCUCAACUGUGUUACAGACCCUUAUGUGCUGCGGACAUCUGGGCCGGUAUUUACGAAGCGUGUCAAAGUAGGAGUGCUGAUCUAGAAUCAGUCCCUCCCAUGUCCAUAUAAUCUAAUUCAUUAUGACUCACAAGGCAAAACUCAUCCUAAAUCAACACCUCUACUCUGAGAUGGUUUGAUAACACAGGCCCUGGUCUGUAUGUUAUAACCAGUGCCUGCAUGGGUUUAUCUAACACGAGUUGGUGACAGACAAUGAAGCCUUGUGGUGUGAGAAAUGUUAAGACUAUGUUAGGAUGUCAGUCUAGACUAUAGUGAUUACCAAUCUAGGGACACAUUACACUGCAUGUUCUAUGUAAUGUGCUUAAUGGAGUGUUUUUAAAUGGAGUGUGCAUUAACGUUUAUACGAGAGUGCAAAAGCAUUCAGACCCCUUGGAUUUCUUCACAUUUGUUUGUGUUACAAAGUUGGAUUAAAAUGGUUUAAUUGUCUUUUUUUGUCAACAAUAUGCACACACACACUCAUAUUGGAAGAUAAAUUAUAUAUAUUUUUAAAGAUAAAUAUGAAUAACUAAGUAUCCCACCCCUUUUUUGUUUAGGCAAGCGUAAAUUAGUUCAGAAGUAAAAUGGGCAAAUAUUGCACAAUCCUCGUGUGCAAAGCUCUCAUAGACUCAAUGCCCAAAGUGUUUCUAACAGGUAUUGACUCAGGGAGCUGAAUACGACUAUAUUUUAGUUAAUAUCCUUUUUUUAAUUAAUCUUUUAAAAAGUGUUAGAAUUUUUCAUCCACUUUGACAUUACAGAUGAUUUUGUGUAGAUUGUUGACAAAAAAUGACAAAUCAAUUUGAAUCCCACUUUGUAACACAAUAAAAUGUGAAGAAAUCCAAGGGGUCUGAAUACUUUCGCAAGACACUGUAGUUUUGUGAUUUAACGUGUGAAGAAAUGUGUUCGACGUCUUUAAUCACCAGUGGAAUGCAAUAAGUGCUAAUGUUGGUUAGCUAAGUGGUUGGUUUAAAAAGGCCAUGAAUUUAGAUUAUUGUUGCGCCGACCAAUAAUUUGCUUUGAUUGAAGCUCAAUAUUAAAUUAAAGUCUCCCUACCAUAAUAUCUAAGCCAAUAUGACACCAAUGUCGAUGAAAAUGUGCAAAUCACCUUGAUCGGAGAUAGACAAUGCACUCCCUGCCUCUUACAGAGAACCACAUACUUGAUUUUUAACAGGAUCGUUAGCAUUAGGGGGAAAAAUUAAUUUUUUAGCCCCGACCUAGCUCAACAUCUAGGCGUCAUAUAAGAACGAGACUACAGCAUCCAUAAAGUGACCAUUAGACUUGCCACCUUUCGGACUGAAUAAGUUUGUAGGGGCAAUAGUUUUGAUUAAAUGUAUAAUUUAUCGCUCUCACAUGCUAAUUUCUGUCCAUUAAGAACCAAUGAUGUGCUACCUUUUUGUAGCAUUUCUGACAAUGCUAACAUAUUUUUUUUAGCCAAAGCUCAGAGUUCUAACACUGUGUCGAUCAACUCCGUUGCUCUGCAACAAGGCUUGCACAAGGCUGCCAAUCAGAAGUGUAUGGAACAAACCUAGGCUACUGUAGAUAGCUAGCUAUAUAGUGGUAUUCAAGCUGAUGUUAAUCAAUAAAUGCAAACAGAUAUUUUGAUUAGCUAGCUAACUAACGUUAGCUUGCUUGUCCAAAGUCCAACAGCUAGCCUAUGUAGCUAGGUAACAUCAGUCAGCUAAAAGCUAGCUAGCUACUGAACAGGCAAAGAAACGUAGCUAGCUAUAUUUGGUUCUGAAAAGUUUUUACACAGAUUACUUCAGCCAUUAGCUAGCUAGCUAGAUAGAGCCAGAACACAACAGCUGACCUUGUCACAGAAGCUAGCCAAUGUUAGCUAGCUCACGUCCAAAUGCCAGUCCUACAUUCCACAAAACAUAGCUAGCUAGCUAACGUACAUCAGUUCAAAACCAACACCAACUUUGGGCAAAUUGCCACGCUGCUACCUUACAUGGGCGUGUAUUCAUGGAUGCCAAGGGAAAACAUUUAUUAUUUUAUCUUUCAUCUCUGUGUUUCAUAAAUGUCCUUCAAUUUACAAGAGGCUAAAUAUAUCUCACUGGAGAAAGCAUCCGAGCGAACGAAACAGUACCCGUAGCUUGAAUGCAAGGGAAGCCAGUAAGCAAUUGUCUUCCCUUGAUAAAAAAAUUCUAAAAUAAUAGCUAAACUGAGUGAGCUCAGAUGUGAAUGGUCCUUGCGCACCAAAAAAAAAGUCUCAAGGGAAGCCAGUUUGGAUUUGGCUUCACACCAAUCGCAUGAGAAGCCAAACGUCAUUGACAGAAAAAAUUGAAUUGUUGCAUCUCGUCGUGUCAUUGUUCUCCGGUGGCUAGCUAGCGAUUUCCUAAAUUAGCAAUGGAUGGAGAUGGGGUUGUACUUAAUUCUCUGUACUGGCCACUGAUUAUAACGGUGAUUCUGAUCCAACCAUAUAAAUGUAUAGGAUGCAUAACUCUGCAACACUUUAGGCUAGAAACAAGCUGUAAAAGGCACAAAAAAGACGUGGCUCUAGUGUACAUAGGGUGUCUUUGUUUAGUCUCUAUGGCUGAGUUAAUAAUAAAGUCAUUGACUUUGAGGUCGUAUAACUCAGCUAUUACGACCUCAGUCAAUGACUUUAUUAUUAUUUUAUUUUUUUACCUUCAAUGGUAAUUGAGUCAUAUUUUACAAUGUAAGGCUGUCGCAAUCAAUUGAGCUAUUCACCUGAAAACUGCAGACAAUUACUUUUGACUUACCGUGGUAAAUUAUACACAUACUUUAAUAGUUAGUUCAAAACUGAUUUGAGCUAUUAGAGAGCAACAGCCAGCAGACCAGGGUUUAAACCAGCAACCCUUGCAGUUAUGCAAGCACAUCACCUGUGCCAUUAAGGCACAGACCUUUUGUCAGAGGCCGAAUUAAAGGUUCCAAUGCCACUUAGCCAAUUAGACUUUUUCUUUCCCCCCAAAAAAUCAAGCUUUGCAUGUGGAAAUGUUUAAUAAUGUACCUUUUUUAAAGAGCGACUGCCCCUAAAAACCAACUAAUCCCUUUCAUCGAUCGCCCCAACGAUUCAAAGGUUCAGGGCCGUUUUGAGACUGAAAAUCCCUAUACGGAUUGACCAACUAUGGUUUGCAUGCCCUUCCGAAUGACCCUACCAUGCGGAAUAGGUGGUUGGUGUUCGUUGGUCCCCAGUGCAGUGGUGGUGAGUAUUCCGGUAGCUAGACCAUAGACAUCUGGUUAUGCAUGUUUGAGAAGUUGUAUUCAAAAAUACCUGGCUUGAUAAACUAGUAGGCUAAUUCCCCAGCCAAGAAGAUGCAGCUAAUAGAGUCAUUUUGGUUGUAAAGUGCACUAGCAAAAAGCUUUGCCCUUUCUUCAGCAAACAAAAUGCAAUUGACCACUUGGCUCUCUAUUAUAUGACCCUGUCACAGGCCCUCCCAGCCAACACCACCUCAUCAGAUUUCCUGUUGCAGUUGUUGGAGACAUGUCCAGAUGGCAGCAGAACAUGCAGCAUAGUGAAGACUUUCAUCAGUAUCAUACAGACUUGACUUCACUGUGAGCAUUCCUAUGAAUGGAACAGUCAGCCACAUGUUGGCAAGUAUCCGGUUAGACAAACCUGUCAUCGACAACAGCUUUCACAGGCUCAUCAUUUGUACAAAUACAGAAGUAUCUUUAAUGGGGGGUCAGAAGUUGAUCUACGCUGCUUUUCCCAUCAAUGGGGCUCUGGCUAAGACCUCACCUCCAGCCUCACCACUUGCCUGCUCACCAAUGCUCGUCAAUGACAACAGAAUUAGAAACAUGUAUGGAGCCAACACAUGGAGACAGAUGGGCUUGAUACUGAUGUCUCUGAAUGGAGAGAGACCUGGCACUCGGCAUAAAAAUUUUACUAGACAACUUUUACUUGUAUUGUUUUUUUUUUUAUUAUUUAUUGUAUCAGUCAAUAUGAGGACUGGGAAACCCUGUGUAUUCUGCACCAGGAUCAGGGAACUCCUGUUGUAUACGGGAUUCCACACAGGAAAGUAUGACCACUCACAUGUUACCAUGGUAGCCCCAUUACCACCAGACAGGAAGGUAUCAACACUAACAUGUUACCA